AUCCAGAGAAUUUAGCAGAGAUGCUUUAGUGCCUUCGGGAACUCUGAGACAGUGCUGCAUGGCUGUCGUCAGCUCGUGUUGUGAAAUGUUUGGGUUAAGUCCCGCAACGAGCGCAACCCUUUAUCCUUUGUUGCCAGCACGUAAUGGUGGGAACUCAAAGGAGACUGCCGGUGAUAAACCGAAGGAAGGUGGGGAUGACGUCAAGUCAUCAUGGCCCUUACGAGUAGGGCUACACACGUGCUACAAUGGCGCAUACAAAGAGAAGCGACCUCGCGAGAGCAAGCGGACCUCAUAAAGUGCGUCGUAGUCCGGAUUGGAGUCUGCAACUCGACUCCAUGAAGUCGGAAUCGCUAGUAAUCGUAAAUCAGAAUGUUACGGUGAAUACGUUCCCGGGCCUUGUACACACCGCCCGUCACACCAUGGGAGUGGGUUGCAAAAGAAGUAGAUAGCUUAACCUUCGGGAGGGCGUUUACCACUUUGUGAUUCAUGACUGGGGUGAAGUCGUAACAAGGUAGGCGUAGUGCU
rnacentral:rRNA from 1 species